GGUGCUGCAUGGUUGUCGUCAGCUCGUGCCGUGAGGUGUCGGUUAAGUCCCAUAACGAGCGCAACCCUACCUUUAGUUGCCAUCAGGUAAUGCUGGGGACUCUAAAGGAACUGCCUACGCAAGUAGUGAGGAAGGCGGGGAUGACGUCAAAUCAGCACGGCCCUUACGUCCAGGGCUACACACGUGCUACAAUGGCCGAUACAGAGGGCAGCUACCUGGUGACAGGAUGCAAAUCUCCAAAGUCGGUCUCAGUUCGGAUCGGAGUCUGCAACCCGACUCCGUGAAGUUGGAUUCGCUAGUAAUCGCGCAUCAGCCAUGGCGCGGUGAAUACGUUCCCGGGCCUU
rnacentral:rRNA from 1 species